rnacentral:rRNA from 1 species
CCUACGGGAGGCAGCAGUGGGGAAUUUUGGACAAUGGGCGCAAGCCUGAUCCAGCAAUGCCGCGUGAGUGAAGAAGGCCUUCGGGUUGUAAAGCUCUUUUGUCAGGGAAGAAACGGUUCGGGUUAAUACCUUAGGCUAAUGACGGUACCUGAAGAAUAAGCACCGGCUAACUACGUGCCAGCAGCCGCGGUAAUACGUAGGGUGCAAGCGUUAAUCGGAAUUACUGGGCGUAAAGCGUGCGCAGGCGGUUGUGCAAGACAGAUGUGAAAUCCCCGGGCUCAACCUGGGAAUUGCAUUUGUGACUGUACGGCUAGAGUGUGUCAGAGGGGGGUAGAAUUCCACGUGUAGCAGUGAAAUGCGUAGAGAUGUGGAGGAAUACCGAUGGCGAAGGCAGCCCCCUGGGAUAACACUGACGCUCAUGCACGAAAGCGUGGGGAGCAAACAGGAUUAGAUACCCUGGUAGUCCACGCCCUAAACGAUGUCUACUAGUUGUCGGUCUUUAUUGUAUUAGUACGUACAGCUACGCGUGAGUAGACCGCCGNGGGAGGUACGGUCGGUCGAGAAGUUAAACGUAACGUUAAAGUUAGUAAGUUAGACGGCGNGAGACGNGCCGACGGACGACGACGAGGGAGGAGG